rnacentral:misc_RNA from 1 species
GAUGAAGAACGCAGCGAAAUGCGAUAAGUAAUGUGAAUUGCAGAAUUCAGUGAAUCAUCGAAUCUUUGAACGCACAUUGCGCCCGCCAGUAUUCUGGCGGGCAUGCCUGUUCGAGCGUCAUUUCAACCAUCAAGCCCCCGGGCUUGUGUUGGGGACCUGCGGCUGCCGCAGGUCCUGAAAAGCAGUGGCGGGCUCGCUGUCACACCGAGCGUAGUAGAUUUUAUCUCGCUCUGGGCGUGCUGCGGGUUCCGGCCGUUAAACCACCCUUUUAACCCAAGGUUGACCUCGGAUCAGGUAGGAAGACCCGCUGAACUUAAGCAUAUCAAUAAGCGGAGGA